rnacentral:rRNA from 1 species
CCAGACUCCUACGGGAGGCAGCAGUGGGGGAUAUUGCACAAUGGGGGGAACCCUGAUGCAGCGACGCCGCGUGGGUGAAGAAGCGCCUCGGCGCGUAAAGCCCUGUCAGCAGGGAAGAAAAUGACGGUACCUGAAGAAGAAGCCCCGGCUAACUACGUGCCAGCAGCCGCGGUAAUACGUAGGGGGCAAGCGUUAUCCGGAUUUACUGGGCGUAAAGCGCUCGUAGGCGGUAUGUCAAGUCAAGGGUGAAAUCCCCGCGCUCAACGUGGGAACUGCCUUUGAAACUGGCAAACUGGAGUGUGUGAGAGGAUAGUGGAAUUCCAGGUGUAGGAGUGAAAUCCGUAGAUAUCUGGAGGAACAUCAGUGGCGAAGGCGACUAUCUGGCACAUAACUGACGCUGAGGAGCGAAAGCGUGGGUAGCAAACAGGAUUAGAUACCCGAGUAGC